UACGAAGGGGGCUAGCGUUGCUCGGAAUCAUUGGGCGUAAAGCGCACGUAGGCGGUCUGUUAUGUCGGAUGUGAAAGCCCUUGGCUCAACUGAGGAAGUGCAUCCGAAACUGGCAGGCUAGAGUACUAAAGAGGGUCGCGGAAUUCCCGGAUGUAGAGGUGAAAUGCGCAGAUAUCAGGAAGAACACCCGUGGCGAAGGCGGCUCUCUGGGACGUGACUGACGCUGAGACGCGAAAGCGUGGGGAGCGAACAGG
rnacentral:rRNA from 1 species